rnacentral:misc_RNA from 1 species
UUUCCGUAGGUGAACCUGCGGAAGGAUCAUUGCACACACGAUGCAGCAAACCUGUGAACUGUGUUUGUCCCCCAAACCACCCCAACCGAGGGGCCGCACCUGGAGGUGUGGCUGCCGGCGUGCAUGCUCGGCCACUUCAGGACUUGUCUUGAAGGGGUCCCCGCCACUGGGAGCGCCAGCGGGCGUAGCAUGUCGCCGGCGGGGUGCCCGUGCGGGCUCUCAUCUCUGCUUUCGGGCUCAGAUGUCACGGGUGUCCCCCUCCCCCAUCCAAUGCCCUCUCUCCAGGGAGAGGCGUGUUGGUCGGGGCCGCUCGAUGCACAUUGUAGAACAUAAGCGUCUGAGUAAACUGGUGCGUGCCGGUCUUGUUGUCGUCCUUCGGGGCGGCAUACAUUUACCGGUCGCAUCUGAGUUGAAUAACCAAAACAACUCUCAGCAACGGAUAUCUUGGCUCUU